CCUACGGGCGGCAGCAGUGAGGAAUAUUGGUCAAUGGUCGGGAGACUGAACCAGCCAAGCCGCGUGAGGGAUGAAGGUACAGAGUAUCGUAAACCUCUUUUGUCAGGGAACAAAGGCGGGGACGUGUCCCCGGAUGAGUGUACCUGAAGAAAAAGCAUCGGCUAACUCCGUGCCAGCAGCCGCGGUAAUACGGAGGAUGCGAGCGUUAUCCGGAUUUAUGGGGGUUAAAGGGUGCGCAGGCGGUCUGUUAAGUCAGCGGUCAAAGCCCGGGGCUCAACCCCGGCCCGCCGUUGAAACUGGCAGUCUCGAGUUGGAGAGAAGUAUGCGGAAUGCGCGGUGUAGCGGUGAAAUGCAUAGAUAUCGCGCAGAACUCCGAUUGCGAAGGCAGCAUGCCGGCUCCACACUGACGCUGAGGCACGAAAGCGUGGGUAUCGAACAGGAUUAGAUACCCUGGUAGUC
rnacentral:rRNA from 1 species